AGACGCGUCUUGUCUGUAGCGGUGCGCCGAUUUACAGAGGCUGGGAACAGAGGAAGGACAAACCUCCUGAUUUUAUUUUUGCUGGGGGUGUAAAAUGAACCAAGGCUUUCUGCAGUCACUAUUCUAUACAUAUCUUUUGGGUCUGAUGCUAUUUUUGUUGGCUGUGACCCUGGAGGUGUAGGUGUGGAAGUGCCUUUCUGCUGCUCUCUGCAUGCGGCUGUAGAUGUUUCCUCUGUUCCAGGCGCCUCCUCAGACUCUGUGGCCUUUCAGGGGGAGUAGGCGGAUGUCAGCGUGGCCUUUCCCCACCUGUCUGUAACUUUUUAAUACUUCUUUUUAUUUUGGCCUUGCGCUUCUUCCAUGGAACAUCUCUGGGUAGCCACUGGGAGGUGUAAAUGGCUUGAGAUGGAAACCACAGCUUGUAGGUGCGCCCUCUGCCAGGCUUUUCUGGCACCCGAGGAAGUCAGGUCUCUGCCUGCUCCCAAGCAAAAGGGAUAUUACCAGCUGCUCAGUGCGAAAACAAAUUCACAGAGAUACAGGAAAGUGUGUUAAGGUGGUGGGAAGCAACGGGAGUGAGAUUCCUGGCAGCUCGGCAGGACAGCAAGCCCCUGCAAGUGUUUAGCUGUUUGUCGUGACUGCUCAGGAGGCUGGCCUAGCCACAUGCUGGGGUCUGUCCAGCUGCAUCCAGACAGGCACAGCCUGUGCUGAGGGUGGGAGCAGGGCUGAGACACACCAGUGUGGCAAUCGGCUUGAGGGGCUGCAGGAGAAGACCAUCACCAGGACCGGCUGCUGCAUGGUUGUGGAAAGUGAAGGUGCCCGACCAGGAACAUGUCUCCCUGCUUGUGACCUGGGUGUGGGGCUGUUACUUUACCCCAGCUCCAUGGCAGUGCAGUGCCCAGCUGGGCUCUGCACAUUGUGUGUGGACAUGGGGACAAGCAGGAAAGCCCAGCAGCCUCCUCACACAGCACCACAGAUCUCCCUGCUGCCCACUUGGCUGCUGCACCCACCACCUCCUGCAGAGAAAUCUCCCUCUUCUUAGGGGCGUGCCUGUUCUCAGUGAAGUUGCAAACCCUCUAGGGCAAGGCGCAAGACUCGUCUGUCUCCUCCCUGAACAUGCCGCAAGUGUGUGAAGCUAGAGAAGGGAUUUCCAUCCUGCCAGCGUGGUAAUGGGAGCUGAGGAAGUGCCCAGCCUGGCUGCAGCAAGGCGAGGUAUGGAGCAAGAUGUGUUUGUCAUCAGUGGUGGAGCAGAGCCACGAAGCUGCUGUUGGGAAGACUGGUGGUCUACCCUGCUGCAGGUCCCCAGAGCGGUACCCCAUCCCUGUGGAGAGUCCACAUCCAUGGGACAGCCUGUGCAGCCAGGUGCCAGCAUCCUCUUUCCUCCAGGUCUCAGCUGGGCACUUGGUGGUCCUGAGGUCCCCAGCAUCCCUGCUGGGUCCAACCUCAGGAGCGGGUUAUUGUGUGCAGCAAGGGCACAGCUUCAAAUAGGUGCCCUUAACCUGGCCUAAUCUGCACAGGACUCUGUGCCUGCCAGGGCAGAGGGAAGUCAAAUAUAUCUCACCUCAAUAAAUUGUUGUUCAGCUUAAGGGAAGUGCCAGAAGAUUUAAAGAGGCUGUUGGCAGAUUCCAGAAAAAAAGAAACAAGUGACAUCUGCUGCACAUCAAAACAGCAAUUACCUUUGUGUCAGUAAGAUGGUUAAUGCAUGUAACAAGUGGUUGGGGACAUGGAAAGGCAUAGAUCUCAGAAACCAGGACAAAAUCGUUUUUUUCAAAUCCUGCAUCCACGGUCCCAAGCUGAUACACAAGCAAGAUGAUAAUGCAGCACGGUGGUUUUUGUUGGCCUCUGCCUGUUUCCAGCCACAGCAGCCCUGGCUGCUGAUUAUUCAGCAGACAUUAACCAGUGGAAUGUUUCCUGAUUUUUUUUCUCAAAAAAAGAGUGCUGGGACAAAAUGCUUUCAUCUUUUUAUUUUCUUUUUUGAGAAAGUCUAAGACAACUCCGGAGCCUCUUGGAUCAUGACAUUUAUGUGACAUGCAGUGCUGGUGUCAGAAGGUGCUGCUUGCUGUGCUGGUGGCCGCUUACCUCCAACAGGCUCAGCUGUAACCCUCUGAAAAAUACCAUUUUGUCCUUUCACAGUGGAGCUUGUCAUAACCUUAUUUCCAAACACGUGGGUUGCACUCCACACAUCUUAGAGCUCCGUGAGAUAUUUGCGUUAGGGAGGCAGCUUGCUUUCCCACCUAUCCCAUUCCAUCAAAACACACUUUUAGCACCAGGCAGGAAGCCAAGGUCAAGUCUCCUUUUCUUUUUUUUUUCUUCCUCCUGCCUGCUCUGAAUACAUUAUAAUACAGACUUCGGCUCCAUUAUUAUAUCUUUUCCCACAAGACCAUUGCCUCAUUCAGACCUCAGCAGAGAACAUGUUUUCAUCUCUGCCAGCUGGGCAUGGCUGGAGAGCCCUGUGCCUGUCGGAGCUCCAAGGAGGAGGACACGGAGGUGAGGCUUUGCAGAUUCCCGUGCACAGAGCACAGAGGAGCUUGGUUAGCUCCAAAUCUGGUCGGGCAUUUCCAGGGAGCCUCUCCCACUGCCUCCCUUGUCAGGCCAGUAAUGAAGAAUGUCAAUGACAAUGGGAUUCCUCUCCUCUGUUUUUAAGUGCCUAAAAGUUAGGUGUCUAAACCUAAUUAGUUGGACAGGCUUCCUGCAUAGCCAAUGGAGACAAAUAGGCACCUCUAGUGUAUGAUUCAUUUCACAUAUCUUGAAGUUUAUCUUGAGAAGGGCUGACUCACCCGACAGCCAAGCACCCGCUUCUCUUCUGUGACUGUAAAGGCAGAUCAGCAACUUGCUGAGGAUUUGACAGCUACAUUUUGGGUGUCCCAAGCUGGGCAAGGUGAGUCCUGCUCCCAGCUGUGGCAGUGGCUGUGGAAAGCAUCAUCACUUGGCUGCUCUGGCUUGCCCCCCUCCCACCCUGUUUCCCACAGGAGGUCCAUUUGCAGCCCUGCCCAAGCAGGGCUGGGUUUUAGUCUGUCCAAAUCACAUUAUCAGCCCUUAUCACACUAUCAGACCAAGUUAAAUAUUUAUAAAGCACCUGGGGGCAGGGUCCACAUCUUUCUUCAGUUUGUAUAUUCCCUCGAGGAGCAAAGCCCCUGUGCUGGUUUGCAGCCCUUUGCAGGCUGGUGCAAUACAGCACCACGAGUCCGUGUGCCAAUCUGCAUGUCUUGACAAAAUGCAGCUGGGAAUGCAGAAAGACCUCAUGGACAUUGGGAAAUAGGCAGGGGUGAAUCAUAAGAGUCAGGAGAAGCAACUAAUGUGUGGGAAAAAGGCAAAUGUGCUACCUCGGCACAAACAUACAAUAAGGAAGUAUGUAAUAAUAAUUAUUGUUAUUGUAAUACGGCCUGGGUGAGCAUUUGGGAAAAAGAUAUCUAAUAACUGACAAGCGACGUGGCUCGGUUUGUUUUGAUCUGAAAUUCAAACAAUGGUUGUGUUUAUAAGGCAAUAAUACGCAGGGUACUGGCACCACACCAACUAUGCACUCCCCAAGUCGGGUUUAUAUAGGUCAUGCCAAACAAAUAAUAGUGUUCUUCAAUAUAAUUACUGAUUCAUUACUGAAAGAGAA